AGUGAACGCUGGCGGUAGGCCUAACACAUGCAAGUCGAACGGCAGCACAGUAAGAGCUUGCUCUUACGGGUGGCGAGUGGCGGACGAGUGAGGAAUACAUCGGAAUCUACUUUUUCGUGGGGGAUAACGUAGGGAAACUUACGCUAAUACCGCAUACGACCUACGGGUGAAGGCAGGGGAUCUUCGGACCUUGCGCGAUUGAAUGAGCCGAUGUCGGAUUAGCUAGUUGGCGGGGUAAAGGCCCACCAAGGCGACGAUCCGUAGCUGGUCUGAGAGGAUGAUCAGCCACACUGGAACUGAGACACGGUCCAGACUCCUACGGGAGGCAGCAGUGGGGAAUAUUGGACAAUGGGCGCAAGCCUGAUCCAGCCAUACCGCGUGGGUGAAGAAGGCCUUCGGGUUGUAAAGCCCUUUUGUUGGGAAAGAAAAGCAGCAGGUUAAUACCCCGCUGUUCUGACGGUACCAAAAGAAUAAGCACCGGCUAACUUCGUG
rnacentral:rRNA from 1 species